rnacentral:rRNA from 1 species
AACGAACGCUGGCGGCAUGCCUAACACAUGCAAGUCGAACGAGACCUUCGGGUCUAGUGGCGCACGGGUGCGUAACGCGUUGGAACCUGCCUUUAGGUUCGGAAUAACUCCCCGAAAGAGGUGCUAAUACCGGCUCAUAUCUUCGGACCAAAGAUUUAUCGCCUUUGGAUGGGCCUGCGUUGGAUUAGCUAGUUGGUAGGGUAAAUGCCUACCAAGGCGACGAUACAUAGCUGGUUUGAGAGGAUGAUCAGCCACACUGGUACUGAGACACGGCCCAGAAUACUACGGGAGGCAGCAGUGGGGAAUAUUGGAAAAUGGGCGAAAGGCUGAUCCAGCAAUGACGCGUGAGUGAUGAAGGCCUUAGGGUUGUAAAGCUAGUUUACACGGGAUGAUAAUGACAGUACCGGGAGAAUAAGCUCCGGCUAACUCCGUG